ensembl:lincRNA
GCUUUUACUGCAAGUGAUACUACAGAGCAUUUGAUUGGUCAGAAGAUCUGUUUGAAAAACUACUGAUUCAUAUUGGCUAUAACUGCUUAUGUUUUCUAAAUGUCUUUGUUUACAGAUUGCCUUAAUGCUGAUAUAUUGAUACUAAUAAACAAACGCAAUUAGUUAGGAUUAAGUCAGACUGCAGACUUUUUAUUGUAUGCUAUUUCUUCCUAAAAAAAUUUAAAAUAUUUAAAUAAAUAAAGGUCACGCUUUAUUUUGAUAGUCCGUUUGUUGAAUUGAAAUUACAUAGCGACAUACCAACUAAUUUUCAUUAGAUUAUAAGUAGACUGUUAGGUUAGGGUUGGGGUUUGGGUUAGGGUUAGUGUAAGUUGACAUGUACUGUACACUGUUAGACAUUUCUGUAAAUUACACAGUUAUUUACUGUAUUUCACCCAGUGUAAUACUGCAAAUUCCUUUUACGGUAAAUAACUGUAUUUACCGUUGCAUUAUGGGAAUUUAGUGUGACGUCGAACAACAUAUACAGCGAUGUACUGUAUUUGUAAAAAUUCGUGUAUUAUACUGUAUUUUCCACAACUGCUUCAACGCCACCUUGCGGCGAUUCGACUACUCUGCACCACAUUUUGCCUGAGGACCCUGGAGCAAUUCUGGAGUACAAUUUAUUAGUGUGCCUGAAGAACAUACUGGAUUUAACAAACUUUACUCUGGUAAGCUGAGGCAGUGUUUCAUUUUACAGAAUGUUUUGUGGACGAGAAUAGAACAAAGUAAAGUAUAAAGUUGGCUAUUAUUAUUUUCUCUGGCUUGGCGUUAUUUCGCCCAUUUGAGAAAUAUAUCAUCUAUUAAGAUGUUACCUUUAUUUAAUUUAUUACAUUAACACUACUAUUACUUUAAAUAAGACUGUUUAUGACUAUUAGCCAUUGUUCUCGUCAUAUCUUUUUAUUUAUUUACAUAGGAACCGGUGUUGCAGCGGGUUUUGGUUUAGGAGGGAACCAGAGGUAUGCAGACAGUUUUGGGGGACACUUAGCACGAGACAACGGUCCGGCAGAGAGUGUUUUCCCCCAGAAGAAUAUGAAUGAAAGACCAACAAAUAAUCCAGAUAUGGCACUGGCACAGCAGCAGGUUUUGUCUGAAGAAACAAACAGCAUUUCAGAGGAACAUCUUGAUCAGCACAGCCUUAUGCUUAAAAAAUAAGCAAGACCAGUAAGCAACCAAGGUAAACAAAUAAAAAAAAUUGUGUGGAGGUUGUGGAUUGUAGCAUGGUAUUCUUAUCUGUAUUUUUGGCUUUUUUAUGGUCUCAAUAUAGAAUACUGGGAGCCUGCCUGUGCAAACUGGACCUCAUACAACAGUAAGUACUGUACAUCUAUUUGUUUCUCAAUAUAUUAACGUUACUUUUAAUACAAAAUGUGUCACAUGUUUAGUUGCUAGCUAAAUAAAAAAAUCGUUUUCCCUUUUUUAUUAAACCAUUUAGUAGGUUUUUUUUCAUCUUUGUUUAUAAUAUUUUUGAGCAGAUUGAGGUCUGUCAUGGGUCAGACAUUUCAAAAUACAAUAAUUAGUAUUGGGAUACAUGCAUUUGUCUAUGUAUUAAAUGUCUUUUUCCCCAUUUCAUGUUGCCUAAAUAUUUUGUAAUAAAUAAAAUAAUACAAUUUUUUGUAUAAAUAAUUCCAGAGGAUGAAACAAAAUGCACAGCAACAACCAGAGUGAGCCAGAAGAUAGCAGGAGAAGUACUGAAGAGAAUGACAACCAUGAACAACAGUGAGUUAUCCUUCUUUCACCAGCCAGCUAACUGAGAACUUGGAUUAGGUGAGACACUCUCAAUAGUUUUAUCAGUAUUCAGUCAGUUUUAGUUUAUUAGGAAUACAUAAAACAAAUAGUCUAAUCUGUCCUGCUGUGAAUCAACCCAUCACAAAUGCUACAAUGUUUUUGUAAAACCUUGUUAGGGGAAAAAUAAACAGGACAUUCUGGUUAGUUAUCUUUUAAACAUGGUAGUGAGCAGGUUAUGAGCAGGAGCCAGUUGCUCAGUACCAGCUGAAAACUACCCCAACCUAGCUGCCAUGCUUCAAAAUAAUUAACCAGUAUAUGAUUUAUUUUUUUAAACAAGCUUCUUCUAUGCUUAUGUUAGUCUGUUUGUCCUUAUCCAGAGUUCUUCAUAAUCCUGGACUGGGCCAAAUCCUGACCAGAUGCUGUGGUGGUCAUGGAGGAGUGAAUCCUAAAAGACACACGUGAUCAAUGAGUUUCCGCAUUGAUCCAAUGGGCCAGCCUGACCACCCACUGGUGAACUUUCAAGCCUCCGGUGCCUAGACUGCGGCCUUGCACAAGUUUGGCUAGAGGAGAACUGGUCGUGCCCAACUGAGCCUGGUAUCUCUCAAGGGAUUUUAUUCUACACUUUCGUCAGUUGGUGAAGUUUGUUCCAUGCCACUGUCGCCACUGGAUCACUUGGCUACGAUUGGUGGAUCGGUGGAUUUGCUCUUCAGUGUUUAGACUUUCAGCAGUGACAUUUACUGCUUCAAUUCUGAAAACUGGACUGAAGCAGCUUCAAUUUACAAGAACUUCUAUGUUAAGCUGCUUUGACAUCAUUGAUCUACAUUGUAAAAGUGCAAUAGAAAUAAAGAUGAAUUGCAUUUAAACAUGUGAAUUCAGACCUUGUUGAGCAUUUGACACCAGAACUAGUAAUAUUUUAAAGUUGGGUUGUUUCUGAGUCGGCUAAUAGUUACAAAUAUUUAUUUUUCCAACAAUAUGCAAUUCAGAAGUUUAAAUUUUUAUUGUACAUGUAUGUUCUAGUGCUUUGUGUGAUUUAUUUAUUUUUAAUGUGUUGAUUUUAUUGCUUAAUGUAAUUUUCACACAUUUUCCUUAAAUGCUUUAAGCAUUAUUAAUGUUUUAAAGAAUGGAAUAUUUUGUAAUUGUGUCUGGUUUAAUGUCAGUAGUACUUAGUACAAUUGGGGUUUUUUUUCUCAACAAUAUGCAGGUCAGACACUUAAGUUAGUUUUGUACAUGUAUGUUAAUGUGCUUUGUCAUUUUCAAUGUUUUUUUUUCUUAAAAUAAAAUAUUUUGAAUGAUUGAAAUGUAAUGUUUUUACACAUUUUUAAGCUUGUUUUAAGCAUCUCCAAUGUUUUAAAUAAAGAGUGUUUAUUUU